CCAGAAAGGCAGAAGCCCUACGCUGUGCCCGACUGGGUAGAGGGAUCUUUCUUCUGUCAUCACUGUGCUGUAGCACAGACCUGUGCUGUGGUUCCUGCUGAGCUGAGCACCCAGGCUGGGUUUUUUCCAACAUCUGCCUGCCCCAAGAUGCUAAGAGGACACAGCCAAAUUGGCUGAUCCAGACUGGCCAAAGGGAUAUUCCAUGCCCUGUGACAUCAGUUCAUAUACAAGAAUGAAAUGAAAGAAGGAAGGUGGGGAAGACAGGUCCAUGGUGUCUGCUCUCCCAAAGCAACGACGAAGCAUGGAGAGUCCUGCUUCCUGAGACCAAACAUCAUUCUGCUGAUGGGAAGUAGAGAUUAACAUCUCUCUCUCUGCUUCUGUUGCUUUGCUUGUUGUCAUUAUUAAAUUGCUUCUAUUUUGAUAGCUGGCUUUUGUUAUAUUUUCCCCUCUCCCCUGUCUAUUUAAGAGGGGGAGUGAUAGAGCAGAUUUGGUGGGCAUUUGGCCCCCAACUGGGGCAAAACCACCACAAAUGUCUCAGGAUAGCAUUUCCUCAAAUCUUUGAGAACCCUGCCUUGUGGUCAAGGGAGAAGAAAAAACAGUAAAUGUAUUUACAUAUACAUUCUGGCCAAAGAAAUGCACAAUUCUGAUGAAAUCAACUCAGUCUACAAUGAUAGAGAGGUUUUUGCUAAUUCCCCAGUUAUAAAAACACAUGAACUUCACUGGCCAAAGCUACCCACUCCACCAAUAACGAUAAAACCCCAGAACAUUUACAAACCAUUACAUUAAAAAAACAUUCUCAGUCUUCAAAUCUGCUCUUCAUUACCUCCUGCCCCUGUGCCAAAUGCAAAUAUGCACAAUGUUCACUGGCUGGUUGCCAAUAUCCCAAACAGCUACCCACUUGUAAAAUCAUGUGUGGCAUUUUGAAACGCAGCCUUGUCUCACCAUUCUGCUUCUAGGAAUCUGUCCAAUAAAAUAUGUAUUAAAAAAGAAAAUAUUGUAUAUUGUGUUCACAACACAGCACUCUUCAGAACAGUGAAGGGAGUAUAAAUGGAGGAAGUGUGAAAAAAUAAGCUGCUGUGUUGUUCAUAAAGCUGGUGGCACAUUCCAAUCAAGGGAGAAACAAGCAGCACCUUAUUUCAUGAGCUUUGUUUGAAAUGACUCCCUCGGUUAACAGUGCAUUUUUACAUCCUGAUUUGCACACAUAUUGCUCCCCUAUCUUUAUUAAAUACUUCAUAUAAGCACUUAAGGAUAAAAAUUACCUUUAUUACAAGGGUAUAUGGGCUUGGCCUUAGUUAAUACUUACUUCAAACAGUGUGCUGAUUAAUAGGAACAGAAGGAAUUGGCUCUUGCAUUUUGAAGAGCUUUAUUUUUGAGGAGGGGAAAAAAAAAGUCUAUAUACUAAUAUUUCUGAUACUCUUGACUGGUUUCUCAGUUU